AGAGAGGGAGAGGGUUAGUGAGUUCUGGAAUCUGGAACUCUCUCUGCCUCUUAACCUCUGUUUUUCUCUCUUUCUUAAUGUCUAGAGAAUUUUUGGAACCUAAGAAAGAGAGAGAGAAAGCCAGGGUUGCUGAUGGCUAUUUUUGGACGCCUAUGGUGGUAUAUCGGCCGAUCUGAAUAGAGCAAAGGGGAUGGGUAGAUCGGAGUGAAGGAAGGCUUUGAGUUAGAAGGUAUGAUCUUUUGAGAAAAGGAAAUGGAAAAGCAGAGGACCAAUUUGUGGCUUCGAUGUUUUCUUUCAGCUCACACGACAGGAGGAAAAGAUUGAUGCUUCCCUUGAGGUUCUUAUCUUAUUAUUGCUAAGGAGGAAUUGUGGGAUGCUGUCACAUAUGAGGCUGUUGCUUUGGUUAAAACCAAUCUAGGAGCUGGAACAGGUAGCAAAGAGGUUGAUGUAUGAAGCAUACCAAAGAGGUUGUGCAGGAUCAAAGAGAUUCCUCACAUUAGAUGUGGAAGCACCCUUCCUUGGCUUGAUACUAAGGUUUGGUUUUCUACUAGAGUGGAAGAUGAAGUGCAAUAAAAUCAAGUGGUUCACAAUGAUAGAAAAUCAUAGUGUUGUGCUAUUGAAGGUUAGAGAUGUAAACAAACUCAUUAGAAUGUGAAUGUGUACUAUAUACUAUCACCUUCUAGCAUAGAGCUAUAUCUGAAAGCUUAGUUUCUAUGGGGGUUGAAUUUAGCUAGAAAACACGCGUUGUUUUUUGAUUUUGUUAAGAACCAUUGGCUAAAGUCAACUAUGAUUACAAGGUAGACAUAGUGCUUGCGGUGGAUGCGUCUAACUAUAUUUGACAGUGAUACUUUGUCAAGGUGUUUUAAAUUUCAUC